UUCCCCUGCCCGAGAGUGCAAAUGGGAGAGCGAGAUGAGGUGGAGGAAGACCCCCUAGGGACCUAGUAUCCGCAAAGCAUAAGACAACUGGCUUCAGAAACAGAUAUACUAUCCAGCGGGAUAAGGAGAAAAACCACUCCACCUGCCGCCAGACCCAGCGCGCUCAGAGGGACUCCCAACUUUGCUAGCAGCGCAGUGUUGGGGUCAGGGGGUCGGAGGAGGUGGGGGUGAGGUAGGGGAGGAACCUGGGCUGAGGCACAGGGGACCUGUGAUAGUCUUUAGUUCCCUGUGCGGACGUGUCCUUAUGUCUAUCCCCGUCUGAGCCUCAAAGUUUUCAUCUGAGAAAUGGGAAAAGCAGCUACCUGCAGGGGUCCUGUUUUCCUGUCUGCAUAAUGGGAGUGAGGCUGGCCAGUUGCUCGGGCUCCUUCUAGCUUAGAGAUGCUGGGCCCUACGCGGUGGAUUGGAUCGCCCCCUUCUGGACUGUAAAUCUCCGUUCCUCGGACCGAUGGGCCUAGAUGAAAUGUUGGAGGGGCGGGCAGAUAAGGACACUGAAGCUCAGAGAGAUGUGGUAACACGCACAAGCUGGCACAGUGAGGCAAGGCAGAAGCUGGAGGUGAAUGAAGACCCCCAGCCCCUAUUUCACCCCUGUGUAAUUCUGUCUGUUCUGCUCAUGGAUUCAAGUGCAGGCACUCCGGAAGCUAGAUGCUUGGUAGAGGAAGGAGGAAACCAAAGACUAUCCCAGAAAAUAGUGUCCAGGAAUUCACUAGGGUGGGUGAUUCUCAUCAUUCUGGGAUGCUCCAGGAGAGAGUAAACGUCCCAUCCCUGGAGGCAAGCAUCCCAUGGUCACAUGGAUGCCAUGAGACAAAUAUCCCUUUUCCCAGAUGAGACUCCGAAGGCAGACAUCAUGUCGGUUAUUGCA